rnacentral:rRNA from 1 species
UACGUAGGGUGCAAGCGUUGUCCGGAAUUAUUGGGCGUAAAGAGCUCGUAGGCGGUCUGUCGCGUCUGCUGUGAAAACUCAGGGCUUAACCCUGAGCUUGCAGUGGGUACGGGCAGACUAGAGUGUGGUAGGGGAGAUCGGAAUUCCUGGUGUAGCGGUGGAAUGCGCAGAUAUCAGGAGGAACACCGGUGGCGAAGGCGGAUCUCUGGGCCAUAACUGACGCUCAUGCACGAAAGCGUGGGGAGCAAACAGG